rnacentral:rRNA from 1 species
CAGUCGCCGCGGUAAUACGAGGGGGGCAAGCGUUGUUCGGAUUUAUUGGGCGUAAAGGGUGCGUAGGCGGUUUGGCAAGUCUUGUGUGAAAUCUUCGGGCUCAACCCGAAGCCUGCACGAGAAACUACCGGGCUUGAGUAUUGGAGAGGUGAGUGGAAUUUCCGGUGUAGCGGUGAAAUGCGUAGAUAUCGGAAGGAACACCUGUGGCGAAAGCGGCUCACUGGACAAUAACUGACGCUGAUGCACGAAAACUAGGGGAGCAAACAGGAUUAGAUACCCCCGUAGUCCCUGUCUCUUAUAC